rnacentral:rRNA from 1 species
GACGAACGCUGGCGGCGUGCUUAACACAUGCAAGUCGAACGGAAAGGCCCUGCUUUUGUGGGGUGCUCGAGUGGCGAACGGGUGAGUAACACGGGAGUAACCUGCCCUUGACGUUGGGAUAACUUCAGGAAACUGGGGCUAAUACCGGAUAGGAGCUCCUGCUGCAUGGUGGGGGUUGGAAAGUUUCGGCGGUUGGGGAUGGACUCGCGGCUUAUCAGCUUGUUGGUGGGGUAGUGGCUUACCAAGGCUUUGACGGGUAGCCGGCCUGAGAGGGUGACCGGCCACAUUGGGACUGAGAUACGGCCCAGAAUCAUACGGGAGGCAGCAGUGGGGAAUAUUGCACAAUGGGCGGAAGCCUGAUGCAGCAACGCCGCGUGCGGGAUGACGGCCUUCGGGUUGUAAACCGCUUUCGCCUGUGACGAAGCGUGAGUGACGGUAAUGGGUAAAGAAGCACCGGCUAACUACGUG